UACGAGGGGGGCUAGCGUUGCUCGGAAUCACUGGGCGUAAAGCGCACGUAGGCGGAUUGUUAAGUCAGGGGUGAAAUCCUGGAGCUCAACUCCAGAACUGCCUUUGAUACUGGCGAUCUUGAGUCCGGGAGAGGUGAGUGGAACUCCGAGUGUAGAGGUGAAAUUCGUAGAUAUUCGGAAGAACACCAGUGGCGAAGGCGGCUCACUGGCCCGGUACUGACGCUGAUGUGCGAAAGCGUGGGGAGCAAACAGG
rnacentral:rRNA from 1 species